GCCGACAUAGCUCAGAUGGCAGAGCAGAGGUUUUGUAAACCUCAGGUCGGGGGUUCGAUUCCCUCUGUCGGCU
rnacentral:tRNA from 1 species